rnacentral:rRNA from 1 species
AUUGAACGCUGGCGGCAUGCCUUACACAUGCAAGUCGAACGGCAGCACGGGUGCUUGCACCUGGUGGCGGGUGGCGAACGGGUGAGUAAUACAUCGGAACGUACCUUAUCGUGGGGGAUAACAAAUUGAAAAAUUUGCUAAUACCGCAUAGUACUCUGAGGAGGAAAGCGGGGGAUUCGUAAGAGCCUCGUGCGAUUAGAGCGGCCGAUGGCUGAUUAGCUAGUUGGUGAGGUAAAGGCCCACCAAGGCAACGAUCAGUAGCAGGUCUGAGAGGAUGAUCUGCCACACUGGAACUGAGAAACGGUCCAGACUCCUACGGGAGGCAGCAGUGGGGAAUUUUGGACAAUGGACGAAAGUCUGAUCCAGCAAUGCCGCGUGAGUGAAGAAGGCCUUCGGGUUGUAAAGCUCUUUUGUCAGUGAAGAAAACUUUAGUAAUAACACUAUUAAAGCAUGACGGUAACUGAAGAAUAAGGACCGGCUAACUACGUGCCAGCCGCCGCGGUAA